rnacentral:rRNA from 1 species
UACAGAGGGGGCAAGCGUUGUUCGGAAUUACUGGGCGUAAAGCGCACGUAGGCGGCUAUUCAAGUCGGGGGUGAAAGCCCGGGGCUCAACCCCGGAACAGCCCUCGAAACUAGAUAGCUAGAAUCUUGGAGAGGCGAGUGGAAUUCCGAGUGUAGAGGUGAAAUUCGUAGAUAUUCGGAAGAACACCAGUGGCGAAGGCGACUCGCUGGACAAGUAUUGACGCUGAGGUGCGAAAGCGUGGGGAGCAAACAGG